rnacentral:rRNA from 1 species
UGGGGAAUAUUGGACAAUGGGCGCAAGCCUGAUCCAGCCAUGCCGCGUGAACGAUGAAGGCCUUAGGGUUGUAAAGUUCUUUUGUCAGGGAAGAUAAUGACGGUACCUGAAGAAUAAGCACCGGCUAACUUCGUGCCAGCAGCCGCGGUAAUACGAAGGGAGCUAGCGUUGUUCGGAAUCACUGGGCGUAAAGCGCACGUAGGUGGGCAGUUAAGUCAGGGGUGAAAGCCCGAGGCUCAACCUCGGAAUUGCCUCUGAUACUGGCUGUCUAGAGUUCGAGAGAGGUGAGUGGAAUUCCUAGUGUAGAGGUGAAAUUCGUAGAUAUUAGGAAGAACACCGGUGGCGAAGGCGGCCCACUGGUCCGGUACUGACGCUGAGGUGCGAAAGCGUGGGGAGCAAACAGGAUUAGAUACCCUAGUAGUCCCUGAGCGGGCUGGCAAGGCGCAU